GUCGAGCGACGCAUGCCGGAGGGGUAACCCACUGGUAUGACGGAGCGGCGAACGGGUGAGUAACACGUGAGCAAUCUGCCCCGUAGACCGGGAUAGCCCAGGGAAACCUGGAUUAAUACCGGAUGCCCUCGGUGAAUCGCAUGAUUCCUCGAGGAAAAGCUUUUGCGCUAUGGGAUGAGCCCGCGACCUAUCAGCUAGUUGGUGGGGUAAAGGCCUACCAAGGCAUCGACGGGUAGCUGGUCUGAGAGGACGAUCAGCCACACUGGGACUGAGACACGGCCCAGACUCCUACGGGAGGCAGCAGCAGGGAAUCUUGCGCAAUGGGCGAAAGCCUGACGCAGCAACGCCGCGUGGGGGAUGAAGGCCUUCGGGUUGUAAACCCCUUUCAGGAGGGAAGAAAUUGACGGUACCUCCAGAAGAAGCACCGGCCAACUACGUGCCAGCAGCCGCGGUAAUACGUAGGGUGCAAGCGUUAUCCGGAAUCAUUGGGCGUAAAGAGCUCGUAGGCGGUUCAACAAGUCGGCUGUGAAAGUCCGAGGCUUAACCUCGGAAUUGCAGUCGAUACUGUUGUGACUCGAGUCCGGUAGAGGAGAAUGGAAUUCCCGGUGUAGCGGUGAAAUGCGCAGAUAUCGGGAGGAACACCAGUAGCGAAGGCGGUUCUCUGGGCCGGCACUGACGCUGAGGAGCGAAAGCGUGGGGAGCAAACAGGAUUAGAUACCCUGGUAGUCCACGCUGUAAACGUUGGAUACUAGGUGUGGCGGUCUUACCAACGACUGCCGUGCCGAAGCUAACGCAUUAAGUAUCCCGCCUGGGGAGUACGGCCGCAAGGCUAAAACUCAAAGGAAUUGACGGGUCCCCGCACAAGCGGCCGGAGCAUGCGGCUUAAUUCGAUGCAACCCGAAGAACCUUACCUGGGUUUGACAUCACGGGAAAAGCUGUGAAACACAGUGUCCAUUAGGGCCCGUGACAGGUGGUGCAUGGCUGUCGUCAGCUCGUGUCGUGA
rnacentral:rRNA from 1 species